UCCCUAUUUUUGCUCCCCUUUUCAGAGUUUAUCCUUGAUAUGUUCAUCUUAACCGAUGACGGAUUUUCUCUUUGAUGGUCUUCUACCCAGUAAUCGGUAGUUGUAAAUCCUACUUUGUCCCCUCCUAGAGUCAAUCCUUGAUAUGUUCAUCCUAACUGGUGACGGAUUUUCUCUCUGACGGUUUUCUAUCCAGAUUUCGAUAGAUGUAAUUACUACCCUUUUUCUAGUUGGUAUAUCCUUG
rnacentral:lncRNA from 1 species